UCCCCCAAAGUAAACCUAGCCGCCUCCCUCCCUCCCCUUCCCCAGGGUGCCUCUCGGCCGUUCACCCACGAGCAGGGCCUUCGUCGCCGGCGAGUAGUGGCUGCUGAUGAUGCAGGUGACGAUCACGCCUCCUACCUUCAGAUCCCCUAACUCCAUGAAUCGCUCGUGCAGCUAAGAUGUGUUUGAGCCAACUCCCUGACGUGGAGGUUUCUCGAAGAGCCGACGCGCCGAUUCGCAUCACAGAGGGCGCGACGGUGCAAUGGAACGACAGGGAAUUUUGUGCAUCCUUGGCAAGUGUGAUGGCGUACAGUAAGGGCAGCAGCGCGUGUGGAAGCUUCACUAUAUGGCGCAAGAAGAAAGCUCAAGCGGACACGCCCACAGCCCAUCAACAGUAACAAGCAGCAACAUGACGACUUCCAUUUAUUAAUUCAUCCCCUUUUGGCGAUUUAUAUUCAGUCCGUUCCACUCAAGCAAGGCAUACUAAAGAGACCCCUGCUAGAUUUGCUUGUCUUGAUUUUGACCUUCAAAAGAUAAAAUGCAAAUGGGUGUUCAAGUAUCUGAUCCAAGUGUACUGGAGAAGAUCAGUCAGAGAAUGUUACCUUAGAAGAGAAUCUGACAUAACAUAAAAGCAAAUUGAGAAGCUCUCGAGGUUGCUGCUAACCUUGUAUAUAACACAAGGGAAUUGAUGAUAUUUUACUGAAGGUUCCAUACAUCAGAAGACUUGCUAUAUCGGAUAUCAGCUACUCCCUCCGGACGGUUUUAAUUGACGCAGGCCUUAGUUCACAUGUGGGUGCAGCUAGUUCAUGCUUGCGUCGAUUAAAACAGACCUGAGGUAGUAUGAAUUUGUUGGCAAAAUUUAGAACGGAUGUACAUAGGACUAGGUAGAAUAUGAUAUUUUGAUGUAACAUU